rnacentral:rRNA from 1 species
AUACGGAGGAUCCGAGCGUUAUCCGGAAUUAUUGGGUUUAAAGGGUGCGUAGGCGGCGCGCUAAGUCAGGGGUGAAAGACGGUGGCUCAACCAUCGCAGUGCCUUUGAUACUGGCGCGCUUGAAUGUACCUGAGGUAGGCGGAAUGUGGCAAGUAGCGGUGAAAUGCAUAGAUAUGCCACAGAACACCGAUUGCGAAGGCAGCUUACCAAAGUACGAUUGACGCUGAGGCACGAAAGCGUGGGGAUCGAACAGGAUUAGAAACCCUAGUAGUCC